rnacentral:rRNA from 1 species
GACGAACGCUGGCGGCGUGCCUAAUACAUGCAAGUAGAACGCUGAAGAGAGGAGCUUGCUCUUCUUGGAUGAGUUGCGAACGGGUGAGUAACGCGUAGGUAACCUGCCUUGUAGCGGGGGAUAACUAUUGGAAACGAUAGCUAAUACCGCAUAACAAUAGGUGACACAUGUCAUUUAUUUGAAAGGGGCAAUUGCUCCACUACAAGAUGGACCUGCGUUGUAUUAGCUAGUAGGUGAGGUAACGGCUCACCUAGGCGACGAUACAUAGCCGACCUGAGAGGGUGAUCGGCCACACUGGGACUGAGACACGGCCCAGACUCCUACGGGAGGCAGCAGUAGGGAAACUUCGGCAAUGGGGGCAACCCUGACCGAGCAACGCCGCGUGAGGGAAGAAGGUUUUCGGAUCGUAAAGCUCUGUUGUAAGUCAAGAACGAGUGUGAGAGUGGAAAGUUCACACUGUGACGGUAGCUUACCAGAAAGGGACGGCUAACUACGUG